UGUGUACCUACGUGUCAGGCCCAUCCUUCCUGCAGGCCUUUGUCUUGGUGUCACCCUGCCUGAGCUGGCCCCAACCACAGUAGCAACAGUGAUGCUGAUGUGUGACUGCUGCCAGGAGCCUGCUCACAUGACCGUGUGGAGAAAGUUCUUUCCCUGAGGACCAUCUGGAGUGGACGCGUGCACUACCCCUCUCUGAAUACACCCUCCCCACGAGGCCCUCUGGAGCAUCCUGUAGAGCCAGC
rnacentral:lncRNA from 1 species